rnacentral:rRNA from 1 species
UACAGAGGGGGCAAGCGUUGUUCGGAAUCACUGGGCUUAAAGGGCGCGUAGGUGGUUGAUCAAGUCUGGGGUGAAAUCUUUCGGCUUAACCGGAAAAGUGCCUUGGAAACUGAUCAGCUUGAGGGAGGUAGGGGCAGUUGGAACUUCCAGUGGAGCGGUGAAAUGCGUUGAUAUUGGAAGGAACGCCGGUGGCGAAAGCGAACUGCUGGACCUCUUCUGACACUGAGGCGCGAAAGCUAGGGGAGCAAACGGG